GAUGAAGAACGUAGCAAAAUGCGAUACUUGGUGUGAAUUGCAGAAUCCCGUGAACCAUCGAGUUUUUGAACGCAAGUUGCGCCCGAAGCCAUUAGGCCGAGGGCACGCCUGCCUGGGCGUCACACGUCGUUGCCCCCCAUCUACUCCUUCGGGAUUGCGGGGGGCGGAUGAUGGCCUCCCGUGCGCCUCGUCGCGCGGUUGGCAUAAAUGCCAAGUCCUCGGCGACGCACGCCACGACAAUCGGUGGUUGCGAAACCUCGGUUGCCCGUCGUGUGCGGUCGUCGCGCAUCGAGGGCUCGAAAAAAUUGUCGGGCUCCGGCUCGGCUUUCAACGCGACCCCAGGUCAGGCGGGGUUACCCGCUGAAUUUAAGCAUAUCAAUAAGCGGAGGA
rnacentral:misc_RNA from 1 species